rnacentral:rRNA from 1 species
GAUGAACGCUGGCGGCGUGCCUAAUACAUGCAAGUCGAGCGAAGCGGGGACGGGGGAGUAACACGUGGAUAACCUCCUAUAAGACUGGGAUAACUUCGGGAAACCGGAGCUAAACCGGAUACUUAUCGAUGGAUCAGUGCUGCAUUAGCUGGUUGGUAAGGUACCGGAUUACCAAGGCAACGAUGCCUAGCCGAACUGAGAGGGUGAUCGGCCACACUGGAACGGAUACACGGUCCAGAGUCCUACGGGAGGCAGCAGUAGGGAAUCUUCCGCAAUGGGCGCAAGCCUGACGGAGCAACGCCGAGUGAGUGAUGAAGGUCUUCGGAUCGUAAAACUCUUUUAUUAGGGAAGCGGUACCUAAUCAGAAAGCCACGGCUAACUACGUGCCAGCAGCCGCGGUAAUUC